rnacentral:sRNA from 1 species
UCACGGAUUCAGUUGAGGAAUGAUCGGU